rnacentral:lncRNA from 1 species
GGGAGGAGGGAGCAGGCGUUCCUCUGCUGCUGAAGAGGGCUGUGGAAACUUAAGUCAUAGACAUGCUUCAGUGAGAGGAUGAGGAUUUGCCCAGAUGGGAAGCUUCAAGUGCAGAGGCACUUGUACAUCUACUUAUCUUGAGUCUCAAUGAUGCUGUUUAUGAGUGAGCUAUUCAAAUGGAGGAAGAAACCCACGGAGAAGGAGAAAUAACAGGUCGGAGUGAUUAUGUACAGAAGGAUAGGCUCUAGCAGGAGUCCAGUGGGAAAGAAGGAAGGGAAUACAAUUAAGAAUUAUUAAUGGCAGAUCUCUAAUGAUUUCACUGGAUCCAAAGGAACAGGGCAAUACUGAGUAAGAAACACUUGAUAUACGAAAAAAGCGUGAGUGCGAAGGAAAAUACAUCAUUCUACAGAUGUUGACGGACUCUGACGGUGGGAAAGCGUCCCUCAAGAUUGAAUUGGAGUAGAAGCUGACCCUCCCACUUGCCCAGAGAUCCCCUAGCUGGAUACGAUUUCAGCAAUAGAACACUUGAUCAUCACAGUGCUUGGCAUAUAGAGAAAACAAAAAAAUCCAAAUGUGU